rnacentral:rRNA from 1 species
UCCGGGGGGGGUAAGCGUUGUUCGGAAUUACUGGGCGUAAAGGGCUCGUAGGCGGCCAACUAAGUCGGACGUGAAAUCCCUCAGCUUAACUGGGGAACUGCGUCCGAUACUGGAUGGCUUGGAUUUGGGAGAGGGAUGCGGAAUUCCAGGUGUAGCGGUGAGAUGCGUAGAUAUCUGGAGGAACACCGGUGGCGAAGGCGGCAUCCUGGACCAAUAUUGACGCUGAGGAGCGAAAGCUAGGGGAGCAAACGGG